rnacentral:rRNA from 1 species
GAAGAGACUGCAAGACUUGAGAUCGGGUGAGGUUAAACGUACUUUCAGGGUAGGGGUAAAAUCCUGUAAUCCCGGAAGGACGACCAGUGGCGACAGCGUUUAACUAGAACGAAUCUGACGGUAAGGAACGAAGGCUAGGGUAGCAAACCGGAUUAGAUACCCGGGUAGUCCUAGCUGUAAACAUUGCCCAUUUGAUGUUGCUUUCCCGUUGAGGGAAGGCAGUGUCGGAGCGAAGGUGUUAAAUGGGCCGCUUGGGAAGUAUGGUCGCAAGACUGAAACUUAAAGGAAUUGGCGGGGGAGCACCGCAACGGGAGGAAUGUGCGGUUUAAUUGGAUUCAACGCCGGAAAACUCACCGGGAACGACCUGUGCAUGAGAGUCAACUUGACGAGCUUACUCGAUAGCAGGAGAGGUGGUGCAUGGCCGUCGUCAGCUCGUACCGUAGGGCGUUCACUUAAGUGUGAUAACGAGCGAGACCCACAUCUUUAAUUGCAAAUGUAUAUGGGAAUAUGCAUGCACUUUAGAGAACCGCCAGCGCU